AACGAACGCUGGCGGCAUGCCUAACACAUGCAAGUCGAACGAGACCUUCGGGUCUAGUGGCGCACGGGUGCGUAACGCGUGGGAACCUGCCCUUAGGUUCGGAAUAACUCCCCGAAAGGGGUGCUAAUACCGGAUAAUGUCUUCGGACCAAAGAUUUAUCGCCUUUGGAUGGGCCCGCGUUGGAUUAGCUAGUUGGUAGGGUAAAAGCCUACCAAGGCGACGAUCCAUAGCUGGUCUGAGAGGAUGAUCAGCCACACUGGGACUGAGACACGGCCCAGACUCCAGGGGGGGGCAGAAGGGGGGAAAAUUGGAAAAUGGGCAAAAGCCUGACCCAGCAAUGCCGGGUGAGUGAGGAAGGCCUUAGGUUUUUAAAGCUCUUUUACCCGGGAUGAAAAUGACAGUACCGGGAAAAAAAGCCCCGGCUAACUCCGU
rnacentral:rRNA from 1 species